GGGGAAUUUUGGACAAUGGGGGCAACCCUGAUCCAGCCAUGCCGCGUGAGUGAAGAAGGCCUUCGGGUUGUAAAGCUCUUUAGGCGGGGAAGAAAUGGCAACGGCUAAUAUCCGUUGUUGAUGACGGUACCCGCAUAAGAAGGACCGGCUAACUACGUGCCAGCAGCCGCGGUAAUACGUAGGGUGCGAGCGUUAAUCGGAAUUACUGGGCGUAAAGCGUGCGCAGGCGGUGGUGCCAGACCGAUGUGAAAUCCCCGAGCUUAACUUGGGAAUUGCAUUGGUGACUGCACGGCUAGGGUGUGUCAGAGGGGGGUAGAAUUCCACGUGUAGCAGUGAAAUGCGUAGAGAUGUGGAGGAAUACCGAUGGCGAAGGCAGCCCCCUGGGAUAACACUGACGCUCAUGCACGAAAGCGUGGGGAGCAAACA
rnacentral:rRNA from 1 species